rnacentral:rRNA from 1 species
CCUACGGGAGGCAGCAGUGAGGAAUAUUGGUCAAUGGGCGUAAGCCUGAACCAGCCAAGUCGCGUGAGGGAUGAAGGUUCUAUGGAUUGUAAACCUCUUUUAUAAGGGAAUAAAGUGUGGGACGUGUGCUAUUUUGUAUGUACCUUAUGAAUAAGGAUGGCUAACUCCGGGGCAGCAGCCGCGGUAAAACGGAGGAUCCGAGCGUUAUCCGGAUUUAUUGGGUUUAAAGGGUGCGUAGGCGGGCUUUUAAGGCAGCGGUGAAAGUCUGUGGCUCAACCAUAGAAUUGCCGUUGAAACUGGGGGGCUUGAGUAUGUUUGAGGCAGGCUGAAUGCGUGGUGUAGCGGUGAAAUGCUUAGAUAUCACGCAGAACCCCGAUUGCGAAGGCAGCCUGCCAAGCCAUGACUGACGCUGAUGCACGAAAGCGUGGGUAUCAAACAGGAUUAGAUACCCCUGUAGUC